rnacentral:rRNA from 1 species
UCAGAACGAACGCUGGCGGCGUGCUUAACACAUGCAAGUCGAACGCGAAAGGGACUUCGGUCCUGAGUAAAGUGGCGCACGGGUGAGUAACGCGUAGAUAACCUGUCUUCAUGUCUGGAAUAAUAACGCCAAAGGGGGUACUAAUACCGGAUAUUCUUGCUUUUCAUAAGUUAUGCAAGCAAAGGUGGCCUCUGCAUAUGCUACUGCAUGAAGAGGGGUCUGCGUACCAUUAGCUAGUAGGUGGGGUAAUGGCCUACCUAGGCGACGAUGGUUAGCGGGGUCUGAGAGGAUGAUCCGCCACACUGGCACUGGAGCACGGGCCAGACUCCUACGGGAGGCAGCAGUGAGGAAUAUUGCGCAAUGGGGGAAACCCUGACGCAGCGACGCCGCGUGAAGUGAGGAAGGCCUUCGGGUCGUAAAGCUCUGUCAAGAGGGAAGAAGUGUACAAUGGCUAAUACCUGUUGUAUUUGACGGUACCUCUAAAGGAAGCACCGGCUAACUCCGUGCCAGCCGCCGC